rnacentral:rRNA from 1 species
UACGGAGGGUGCAAGCGUUGUUCGGAAUCACUGGGCGUAAAGCGCGUGUAGGCGGCCUUCUCGGUCUGGUGUGAAAGCCCGGGGCUCACCCCCGGAAGUGCAUUGGAUACUGGAAGGCUGGAGUACCGGAGAGGAGGGUGGAAUUCCUGGUGUAGCGGUGAAAUGCGUAGAUAUCAGGAGGAACACCGGUGGCGAAAGCGGCCCUCUGGACGGAUACUGACGCUGAGACGCGACAGCGUGGGGAGCAAACAGG